GGUCUCGUAGCUCAGAGGUGGCUAGAGCGUUGGCAACAUUAAAGCCUUCCUUUGCUGUCGUGUGUUCAAAUCCCACCGUGACCG
rnacentral:tRNA from 1 species